AUUGAACGCUGGCGGCAUGCUUUACACAUGCAAGUCGAACGGCAGCGCGGGCUUCGGCCUGGCGGCGAGUGGCGAACGGGUGAGUAAUGCAUCGGAACGUGCCCAGUAGUGGGGGAUAGCCCGGCGAAAGCCGGAUUAAUACCGCAUACGACCUGAGGGUGAAAGCGGGGGACCGAAAGGCCUCGCGCUAUUGGAGCGGCCGAUGUCGGAUUAGCUAGUUGGUGGGGUAAAGGCUUACCAAGGCGACGAUCCGUAGCUGGUCUGAGAGGACGACCAGCCACACUGGGACUUGGACACGGCCCAGACUCCUACGGGAGGCAGCAGUGGGGAAUUUUGGACAAUGGGGGCAACCCUGAUCCAGCCAUGCCGCGUGCGGGAAGAAGGCCUUCGGGUUGUAAACCGCUUUUGUUCGGGAAGAAAUCCUCUGGGCUAAUACCCCGGGGGGAUGACGGUACCGGAAGAAUAAGCACCGGCUAACUACGUG
rnacentral:rRNA from 1 species